GUGAGCUGUAUCACUAUAUUUUAUUAAAAAUUACUUUUUUGUGAAUAGUAAUACAUUUAGGUCAUUACACAUUCAAUGGCCAGGUACUGAUCAGUAAGAUACAUUAAAUUAAUUUUAUUUUUGGAAUAUAUGAUGUAAUAUCAAAAAAUUUCUGAAUUGGCUCUAUAAAAAAUGAAAAAUUGAUACUGAUUUGAGAUUUAGUAGCAUGAUUCUCUUCAAAGUAAUUCCCAUGGGAGUUGAUGCAACAGUCUCAACAAUUCUCCAUGUUGGAAUGACUUUUAAAAGUCCUUAUUUGUUGUACUAUUCAGCACAAUCCUUGUUUCUUUCUGAAUCUGCUCAACUGUUCCAAUCUUCAGCCUUUAUCUGCUUUCUAGAGAGGAUAAGGAAUGGCAAUCAUAUGUUAUUUCAGACUAAAAACUGCUGCACUUUAAUGGACAUGUGAACUGCAGUAUUUUCAUAAUGGAUCAUCCAGUUCCCAGUGUUUCACAAUUCUGGUGCUUGAAUCUCAGACAGUUCCACAACAGUAUCCAAAAUGCUUUGCUGACAAUCCUCAUGAAUUAAUAUGCAAACUCUCUCAAUAUUUUAUUAUUCCUUAUAAUGGGUUAUACUUGUCAAAAAGCAUCUUAUCUAUUCAUCGUUUUCAAGUUGGCUGCAAUUAAAUGUCCUUGCCACUCACAGAUUUGUGUUUUGUCUGAAACAGGUCAUCAAAUGCCUGCUGAACAGUUUCUUUGUUUCUGAUAUGUUUUUACCAAUUUUGACAGAAUUUAGUAAAUAUAUACAAACUA
rnacentral:lncRNA from 1 species